UUUCAAAAUAAUCACAAAACCAAAUUACAAACUUGCGUUUUAUUUAACAAGCUAUAGCAAUAAUCACAAACUAUAGCAAUUAGCAAUAUAUACAAUUCAUAAUCAUGAAUUACGGCAACAAUUAGAAUACAAAAUCAUGAACAAAAUAAAUUAAAGGGGGAGAUGAGAAGUGUCGCCGCUACAGCCUACAAGUGAAGAUCGGAGUUUCGCAAACUCUCGCCGGUGAGGUCUGACUGUCUGAGGCCGUGAGGCGUGCAAAUUCAGUGAGGAAUGAUGAGGCGUACAAUUUCAGUGAGGAAAGAGAGUGAGGGACUGAGGGAGAGUGAGUUUAAUUUCAAUGGAGUUUAUGUUAGGAGAGAGAGAGGAGAGAGGGGUGGCGUUGAGAGUUUUAGACUUAGGCCCCGUUUGGUUUAAUGUAAAACAUUUUCAAUGGAAAAUUAGUUUUCAAGGAAAAUAUAUUUUCAAGGAAAAACACAAUUUCAAAUUAGUUUUCCUUUAUUUGAUUGCAUACAAGAAAAGUCCAAGAAAAAUAAAAAAUAAAAGUGGAAAUGUAAGGAUAAAUGAGAGAGAAGUAAAAAAAAAAAAAGGUAAGGAGGAAAGAUGAAAAUGUGGCUUCCCUUGUUUUUGGAAGGAAAAUGUUUUCCAUUAUUAAGGAUGGAAUUUUCCACCCUUGAAAAAUUGUUUUCCACUCCUUAACAAACCAAACAAAGGAAAAUGGGAAAAAAUGAAAAAUUCAUUUUUCAUGAAAACCUUUUACAUCAAACCAAACAGGGCUUUAGAUACAGUCUUCAGUUAGGGUUUGUGAAAUUAGGAGGGCCUUUUAAAUAUUUUAAAAACGACAUUUUAGAAAUAAUUUGAAAAAAUGUAAACGUAGUCUGUAGUAUAGAACUCGUUUGAGUUUAAAAUAAAUAAAAAAAUUAUAUUAUAUAUGUUCGGGUGGAUGACGGAUCGGGUGAUAAACGGAUGACGGAUUGGGUGAUGAAUGUAACGGAGCUCCACCCGAAUCCGACCCGACCCGAUCCGUCACCCACCCUUCAUCCGUUUAACGCGGAUUUUCAUCCAUUUAUUUAUAUCGGGUGGAUCGGGUUUGCGGAUAUCCAUUUAGAAUUGUCAUCUCUAAUUGGGUCGGUCUUAAUUACCAUUUAUCCAUAAUCAUGGUUGAGCGUGAGUGAUGAACAUCAUUUCUCCCAGAAUUCAUCUUUUUGCGACUCAAUUUGAUAAUUCAAAGAGGAAUUUUACAAGGUCAAUGUGUUAAUAUUCUUCAAAUUUGAAUAUGAAGUUCAAGGUCGUGUGCAGGAAAAUUAAAGAUUAUGUUCGUUAUGAUUUGAAAGAAAUAGCAUUUCCUUCCUCAUUACCUGAUCCGCCUCACAUUAAAAAGCGGCGUAAAUUGACUUGGAAGGAAUCAUAUUAUGUCCUGAAGGAGGCCUCCCGUCUUUAUGCAGCAAGCUGGGUACGAGACAUUGGUCCUGAACUCCGCCCAAAUGAUUACAAGAAGGAAGAAAGUGCAGAUAAAAAUGGAUCAAAUGAAAAUAAGGAGAAAGAACCAACAACACUAGAGGAUCUUGGUCCUGAAGGAGGCCUCCCGUCUUUAUGCAGCAAGCUGGGUACGAGACAUUGGUCCUGAACUCCGCCCAAAUGAUUACAAGAAGGAAGAAAGUGCAGAUAAAAAUGGAUCAAAUGAAAAUAAGGAGAAAGAACCAACAACACUAGAGGAUCUUGGUCCUGAAGGAGGCCUCCCGUCUUUAUGCAGCAAGCUGGGUACGAGACAUUGGUCCUGAACUCCGCCCAAAUGAUUACAAGAAGGAAGAAAGUGCAGAUAAAAAUGGAUCAAAUGAAAAUAAGGAGAAAGAACCAACAACACUAGAGGAUCUUGGUCCUGAAGGAGGCCUCCCGUCUUUAUGCAGCAAGCUGGGUACGAGACAUUGGUCCUGAACUCCGCCCAAAUGAUUACAAGAAGGAAGAAAGUGCAGAUAAAAAUGGAUCAAAUGAAAAUAAGGAGAAAGAACCAACAACACUAGAGGAUCUUGGUCCUGAAGGAGGCCUCCCGUCUUUAUGCAGCAAGCUGGGUACGAGACAUUGGUCCUGAACUCCGCCCAAAUGAUUACAAGAAGGAAGAAAGUGCAGAUAAAAAUGGAUCAAAUGAAAAUAAGGAGAAAGAACCAACAACACUAGAGGAUCUUGGUCCUGAAGGAGGCCUCCCGUCUUUAUGCAGCAAGCUGGGUACGAGACAUUGGUCCUGAACUCCGCCCAAAUGAUUACAAGAAGGAAGAAAGUGCAGAUAAAAAUGGAUCAAAUGAAAAUAAGGAGAAAGAACCAACAACACUAGAGGAUCUUGGUCCUGAAGGAGGCCUCCCGUCUUUAUGCAGCAAGCUGGGUACGAGACAUUGGUCCUGAACUCCGCCCAAAUGAUUACAAGAAGGAAGAAAGUGCAGAUAAAAAUGGAUCAAAUGAAAAUAAGGAGAAAGAACCAACAACACUAGAGGAUCUUGGUCCUGAAGGAGGCCUCCCGUCUUUAUGCAGCAAGCUGGGUACGAGACAUUGGUCCUGAACUCCGCCCAAAUGAUUACAAGAAGGAAGAAAGUGCAGAUAAAAAUGGAUCAAAUGAAAAUAAGGAGAAAGAACCAACAACACUAGAGGAUCUUGGUCCUGAAGGAGGCCUCCCGUCUUUAUGCAGCAAGCUGGGUACGAGACAUUGGUCCUGAACUCCGCCCAAAUGAUUACAAGAAGGAAGAAAGUGCAGAUAAAAAUGGAUCAAAUGAAAAUAAGGAGAAAGAACCAACAACACUAGAGGAUCUUGGUCCUGAAGGAGGCCUCCCGUCUUUAUGCAGCAAGCUGGGUACGAGACAUUGGUCCUGAACUCCGCCCAAAUGAUUACAAGAAGGAAGAAAGUGCAGAUAAAAAUGGAUCAAA